UGUUCGUUUGUUGAUGUGUUACAUAUUUGAUUUUCAUUCAUCUUUUUGUACGUUAAUUAGGCCGUUAUUUUUCUCGUUCGAAUUAUUUCAUAUUUGUUAUUACCGGGCCUUUUAUAGCUGAUUAUGCGGUAUGGGCUUUUCUUAUUGAUGAAGGUCGUGAGGUGACUUGUAGUUGUUAAUUUCUGUUCAUUUGUGUCAUUUGGUCUCUUGUG
rnacentral:lncRNA from 1 species